rnacentral:rRNA from 1 species
AACGAACGCUGGCGGCAUGCCUAACACAUGCAAGUCGAACGAGACCUUCGGGUCUAGUGGCGCACGGGUGCGUAACGCGUGGGAACCUGCCCUUAGGUUCGGAAUAACUCUCCGAAAGGGGUGCUAAUACCGGAUAAUGUCUUCGGACCAAAGAUUUAUCGCCGUUGGUUGGGCCCGCGUUGGAUUAGCUAGUUGGUAGGGUAAAAGCCUACCAAGGCGACGAUCCAUAGCUGGUCUGAGAGGAUGAUCAGCCACACUGGGACUGAGACACGGCCCAGACUCCUACGGGAGGCAGCAGUGGGGAAUAUUGGACAAUGGGCGAAAGCCUGAUCCAGCAAUGCCGCGUGAGUGAUGAAGGCCUGAGAGUUGUAAAGCUCUUUUACCCGGGAUGAUAAUGACAGUACCGGAAGAAUAAGCUCCGGCUAACUCCGUG